GUUUUGCAGCUCCAUUGCGCAGAGUCACUGUGAUGUGUCAUAGAAUCAUAGAAUGGCCUGGGUUGAAAAGAACCACAAUGAUCAUCUAGCUUCAACCCCCCUGCUAUGUGGUCUUCCUUGAGUGAAUGUUCCUGCAGAUGGUAAAGAGGCUGUAGAAGAACUUUGGCUGCAAGGGAAAUUGUGUAGUCAAGUGACUACGCUCAGAAUAUCUGUAAAGCAACACACAAGGUUGUUGGCUCACUUGGAGAGGCUGAUUCUGGAAGGGAAUCUGGGGAGUUGAACAACAGCUAUUGGUCAUUAAGAAAACAAGAAGCUCUUUGUGCUGCUGGUCAGGUCAGAGGAUUGCACUGGUAAGUAAGCAUGUGGAGCAGCAUCAAAGCUUUGAAUACUUUGGGAUCUAUGAAUGCCCAAUGGCCAUGCUCUAAGCACAUGCAGUUCUGACUCAGGUCUUUUUAUCUGAUGUGAUUAAGUUUAUCAUCAAGUUUAUGAUCCAGAUUAUGCCAGUAUUUUAGAAGCAAUAUAAGUGUCUCUCUG
rnacentral:lncRNA from 1 species